CUAAGAAUAUUCCGCAAUGGACGGAAGUCUGACGGAGCGACGCCGCGUGGAUGACGAAGGCCGAAAGGUUGUAAAGUUCUUUUGCUGGGGAAGAAUAACCGCAGGAGGGAAUGCCUGUGGGAUGACAAGAACCGGCGAAUAAGCCCCGGCCAACUACGUGCCAGCAGCCGCGGUAACACGUAGGGGGCGAGCGUUGUUCGGAAUUACUGGGCGUAAAGGGCAUGUAGGCGGCUUGGAAAGCCUGGCGUGAAAGUCUGCAGCUUAACUGCAGGGGUGCGCUGGGAACUGCUGAGCUUGAGUGACGGAGAGGGAGCUGGAAUUCCUGGUGUAGGGGUGAAAUCUGUAGAUAUCAGGAAGAACACCGAUGGCGAAGGCAAGCUCCUGGCCGACGACUGACGCUGAGGUGCGAAAGUGUGGGGAUCAAACAGGAUUAGAUACCCUGGUAGUCCACACAGUCAACGAUGUGCACUAGGUGCUGGGGCGGUAGCUUCGGUGCCGGAGCGAACGUGGUGAAGUGCACCGCCUGGGGAGUAUGCUCGCAAGGGUGAAACUCAAGGAAUUG
rnacentral:rRNA from 1 species